GGAGGCAGCUGGUAGAGCAUCGGAUUGUGGUUCCGAGUGUCGUGGGUUCGAGCCCCAUCAUCCA
rnacentral:tRNA from 1 species